rnacentral:rRNA from 1 species
UGUGCCAGCCGCCGCGGUAAUACGUAGGUGGCAAGCGUUGUCCGGAUUUACUGGGCGUAAAGGAUGCGUAGGCGGAUAUUUAAGUGAGAUGUGAAAUUCCCGAGCUUAACUUGGGAGCUGCAUUUCAAACUGGAUAUCUAGAGUGCGGGAGAGGAGAAUGGAAUUCCUAGUGUAGCGGUGAAAUGCGUAGAGAUUAGGAAGAACACCAGUGGCGAAGGCGAUUCUCUGGACCGUAACUGACGCUGAGGCAUGAAAGCGUGGGUAGCAAACAGGAUUAGAAACCCCGGUAGUCC